AGUGAACGCUGGCGGCAGGCCUAACACAUGCAAGUCGAACGGCAGCACAAGAGAGCUUGCUCUCUGGGUGGCGAGUGGCGGACGGGUGAGGAAUGCAUCGGAAUCUGCCCAUUUGUGGGGGAUAACCUCGGGAAACCGGGACUAAUACCGCAUACGACCUACGGGUGAAAGCAGGGGAUCUUAGGACCUUGCGCAGAUGGAUGAGCCGAUGCCGGAUUAGCUAGUUGGAGGGGUGAAGGCCCACCAAGGCGACGAUCCGUAGCUGGUCUGAGAGGUGGAUCAGCCAACCUGGGACUGGGACACGGCCCAGACCCCUUCGGGAGGCAGCAAGGGGGAAUAUUGGACAAUGGGCGCAAGCCUUAUCCAGCCAUGCCGCGUGGGUGAAGAAGGCCUUCGGGUUGGAAAGCACUUUUGUUGGGAAAGAAAAGCAGCCGGUUAAUACCCGGUUGUCAUGACGGUUCCCAAAGAAUAAGCACCGGCUAACUUCGUGC
rnacentral:rRNA from 1 species